AAAGGGCGGAGCUUAUAACAAUGAGUGACAGGGAGCUAAGAUGGAGGCGGCUCUCUAUACUGACUGCCAGGUGUAAAGGGCGGAGCUUAUAACAAUGAUUGACAGGGAGCUAAGAUGGAGGCGUCUCUCUCUCUAUACUGACUGUCAGGUGUAAAGGGCGGAGCUUAUAACUAUGAUUGACAGGGAGCUAAGAUGGAGGCGGCUCUCUCUAUACUGACUGCCAGGUGUAAAGGGCGGAGCUUAUAACAAUGAUUGACAGGGAGGUAAGAUGGAGAUGGCUC
rnacentral:lncRNA from 1 species